rnacentral:rRNA from 1 species
AUAGAUACCCUGGUAGUCCAUGCCGUAAACGAUGUCUACUAGCCGUUGGGGCCCUUGAGGCGUUUAGUGGCGCAGCUAACGCGAUAAGUAGACCGCCUGGGGAGUACGGUCGCAAGACUAAAACUCAAAUGAAUUGACGGGGGCCCGCACAAGCGGUGGAGCAUGUGGUUUAAUUCGAUGCAACGCGAAGAACCUUACCUGGCCUUGACAUACAGAGAACUUUCCAGAGAUAGAUUGGUGCCUUCGGGAACUCUGAUACAGGUGCUGCAUGGCUGUCGUCAGCUCGUGUCGUGAGAUGUUGGGUUAAGUCCCGCAACGAGCGCAACCCUUUUCCUUAUUUGCCAGCACUUCGGGUGGGAACUUUAAGGAUACUGCCAGUGACAAACUGGAGGAAGGCGGGGACGACGUCAAGUCAUCAUGGCCCUUACGGCCAGGGCUACACACGUGCUACAAUGGUCGGUACAAAGGGUUGCUACUGCGCGAGCAGAUGCUAAUCUCAAAAAGCCGAUCGUAGUCCGGAUCGC